rnacentral:misc_RNA from 1 species
GGGAGCAGAAAAUGCUUGAUAUCCAGAAUACAAUCAAUUCUCUUGUUAGACCUUUCCCUGAUGAUUCUUCUUCACCUUCCCUUUCAACAAGUUUAUCAGGUUCCAAAAGCCAUAAAUUAACAAGAAGCAAAAGCUGUAGAGCUAAUUUUAUGAUUGGCUCACUUUCACCCAACACUGAGACAGCUGAAGAAAACCAGACCACCCCACCUAAUGUGCUGGAUAAGGAUUUUCCAGGAAGACCUGAGGGUUUCCAACGGAAGCACUGGAAACUACCCCUGUUAAUUUAUGGAGCAAACAGAUCUAACUUAUCGAGAAACAAUUCACAGUCUUCCAUUGGUAGUGCUUUUGUGGAUGGGAAUAAUGUCCCUGGAGAUGAGGAUAUCCCAAGUGUUGACAAUUUUGUGGCAGGUCUUAAGGAGAUGGCUAAGCAACUUCAUGAUCAGGGUCAAGAGACUGGAAAGUCAAAAAGGAGCUUCAAAAGUAUUGGAGUGGACCCGAUGCUGGACUCAGUGGAGGCUCCUUCAGAUUGGCCUCUUGAAUUUGGAAGGCUACAGAAAAUGAUCAUUGGACUCUGGCAAACUUGCCAUAUUUCAUUGAUCCACAGGACAUACUUCCUCCUGCUGUUUAAAGGUGACCAAAUGGAUUCUAUUUACAUGGAGG